rnacentral:rRNA from 1 species
GACGAACGCUGGCGGCGUGCCUAAUACAUGCAAGUCGAGCGGAGUUUCAAGGCGUGCUUGCACAACUUGAAACUUAGCGGCGGACGGGUGAGUAACACGUAGGUAACCUGCCUGCAAGACCGGGAUAACAUUCGGAAACGAAUGCUAAUACCGGAUACGCGGUUUGGUCGCAUGAUCGAACCGGGAAAGACGGAGCAAUCUGUCACUUGCAGAUGGACCUGCGGCGCAUUAGCUGGUUGGCGGGGUAACGGCCCACCAAGGCGACGAUGCGUAGCCGACCUGAGAGGGUGAUCGGCCACACUGGGACUGAGACACGGCCCAGACUCCUACGGGAGGCUG